GCCGGCAGCAAGCUCUCUGCAACUUUAACAUGGUCGGCCGCUGAAGCUAAGCAGGGCUGCGCCUGGUUAGUACCUGGAUGGGAGAGACCACAUGGAAAAGCUAGGUUGGUGCCAGAA
rnacentral:rRNA from 1 species